AGCCCUGGGUGGAGGGGUGCAAGGCCGCUGGCUCGGGUUCCCUGGCCUGUGGACCUGCUCUCUCAGACCUCAGCGUGAGACAGCUUCCUGCGGGUCCUCCGGGCGGCCCUUCCCGCCGCAUUCCAUUUAGAGUCUCCCGCCUCGUUCCUUCUCCAUUUCCCUUCAUCAGAAGAAAGACUGGACGAGCACUUAACAGAGGACCACAGUUAUCAGAGUGGGUCCCUCCCACCAGCGGUAUCAGAAUCACUGGGGAGCUUCUGAGAAAACCUAACCCUAAACCUACCAAAGGAAGAACUCUGGGGAGGGGACAAGUGCUUUGUUUUGACGAGUCCUCCAGGGGAUCCUGACCAAUGCCAACUUUGAGAGCCACUGGCCUUAAGGGACCCAGAUAAGAUGCCUGCACCUUCACUGCGAUGAUCAGUGCACAUCCUGGGCUACACACUCUGGUCCAGCUGAGCUGAUCUAUGGAGUUCAAGUCCAAAGAUAAUUUCACAUGCUGACACUGCACCCCAAGACUGGAGAGGCAGCAGAGCUUCUUGUGAGUAAUACCUCCCCCCGCAGCCACGGCAUCUAUCCGAAGAGGCGAGCAGUGGUUAUGAAAAUGGUCUGAAGUUGGGCUCUCAAAUUCAGAGAACGGUACCUAAUCAAAAUUUGAACCCAUGGUAAAUUCAACCUGGCCAAGAUCCCAGAGUGAUUUGUCAUUGGACAGAGAAGAAACCUUUCUCCAACUAGCAGGACCCUGGGGUUAUACGAACUAUGCAAAGGGCUCAGCUGCAGGUCAAGCACAGUCCUGUUGAGCAGAUCCUGUUGGUCACCAAGAUUUCCCAAGUACCUUUUAUAUACCAGGUUCUAGCUGAAGCUGUGAGAUCUCCUGGGGAACAAGAUCCUGCCCUCCAGCCACCUCGCUGUGGCUGCAGGAGGCAUGUGACACCUGUGUCUUCAGGAUACCCAAGGAGGCUCCUUCCAGCUGCAGAAAGAGAGGGUGAGAGGAGCAAGAGUCAUAGGAAAGCGCCCAGAAUGGAAGAAGAAAGUAGUAGAUCCGUUAAUGGGACCUCGUGGGGAGAGAAAGGAGAUGAAUGAUCCACUCUGUGGGAUUUGGAAGACCAAGACACGGAUCUCAGUUUCCCCUUCCCAAGAGGCCAAGCCACAGGAUGCCCACAAGACCUUGACACACCCCUGGGGCAACCCACUGCCCUUUAAUGCCACUGCUGAGGGAGAGGACACCAGCUCCACCACCCGACCACAUUCCCACCCCCUCCCUGUUCUCACAUCACGGCAGGUACACCCGCCUGUGAGAUGUUCUAACAAACGAAGCACGUUCUGGACACAGGACGUUUGCACCUAAGGUUCCCUUCCCGUGCUGCUCCUUUCAGUACUCAGUGGCUCACUCCCACACUGCACUGAGAUCUUGACCCGAGCAUACCAGAGUGGUGUGCCCUGCCUGCCACGUGUCACCUAUCCCCUCCUCCCACACACAGCCUCACUUCUACCGUUUCACCCUUGCUCCCUUUUCUUACUACGACUACGUUUAUAUCUACUGUUACCGUCUCCCCAUUUCUAAGAAAACUUUACCUGGAAAGUUCUUUGGUUACUUUAUUCAUGACCUGAGUUUAGAACAGGGUCUAGCACAAAGUACGUACCUAAUGAUCUGUUAGACGACAGUUGUUUGAAUGUGUACAGGUCUAUGCUGUGUGACCCAGGAACUCUGGUCAAAGACGACUGGGCUAAAGAAAGAACAGUUGCAUAUAUGUAUUUAUAUAUUUAUAUAUAUCUAUAUAAAGGAGGAAUAGCAAUGUAUAGGGUGGCUGGUAGCCUAAGAGCUGGGCCUCACAGGAACUAUGUACACAGCAGAUAUUUUGUCUUUGAGAUUUAAUAUAAAAUGCUGAGAUAGAGGCAGCCGGGACAGGAAUUAUUUGUAGACAAAUACUUUGUAAGGUCCCGUUAGAGUAUGGGUGAACAAGUUUAUUCUGUUGAGGGCAUAAGAGAAUACCCAAGAAGUAUUAUUUCUUCAAGCAUUGGACCAUGAGGCCCCCUACAUAGCAUGCUUUUUGUUCUUUCCAGCUAGUUUUGAAGUCCCCCAGAGCUUGGACGAGUGGCUGAGAAUCCAGUUUCCAUUUGUACGUGUGUCUCCCUGCACCCAACCCUCCAAGCUUUGAGUACACUGAGGAUCUCUUGUUUUUGGGGAGCAAAAAAAUCCUAAUAACAUCAUACUUUCUAUGGGUUUUCAGGCCUGGUGAUGCUGAGAUAUGUUUGGAUUAUAGAGAGUAGAGAAAAAGAGACUCAGUGAAAAAGGAGAGAAAUCUAAAACAGGGGGAAGAAAACUAAUAAAUACCCCUUGAGGACCUAGAAUACACUAUUAAAUGCACAACUAUAAAUGAUCACAUUUGAUUUAUGUAUAUAUGCAGUUAGGAUGCUUCUGGAUUAAAAAAGCUAUUAACUGGAUUAAAUAAUAAAGGAAUUGGUCUC